AGCAGGGAAACAAACUACUCCUCAGUAUGCUGGGCCUGAGAUUGCUAUUCAUGAAGACUGUGGCCAUCAAUGUCAUAUUUACCACCAUGACCUUGAUCUUCUAAGAAUGAACCUUGUGGAAGAUCAUCUAAGAAGCCACUAUUUGGAUCCUGGAUACCUUUGGCGACCCCAGAAUGAACUCUGGAUUACCUCAAGAUAAAUCCAGAAUGACUCCAAGGACUCAUAAUUAACCUAGUUGCAUUCAAUCUCCUUUGAACUACAAACUUCAUUUCUAGGUCUAUGUCUUCCAUGAUAUAUUAUUUUUCAUCCCUUGUCCUAUAAUAAAGUCAAGAAAGCCUU